CGCAGAAGAAGAGUUGAAGAAAAGUUGCUUUUUGUUAGCUAGCUAGUGUUAUAUAAAAUAUAAAAUAUUAUCAUCUUCCAUUCUUCCAUCCUGUCUUUUAUACCCCUUAGGCUGACACCAUCUAUGAUGCAAUCUCUAUUGCACUCCACACUGCCCUUUCCCACCUGGACAAAAGCAACACUUAUGUAACCAUGGUUGACAGAGGAAGAACAAUGAUUCCAAGCACUACCCUCCUUUUGAAGCUUCCAGUCUGUUAUUCGAACUCAAUCAGCAUGACAGAGUGAUCUCCAGCCUUGUCCUCGUCAACACUCACACCUGUGUUAACGAGAGAAUCACUGACAUGAUGUCAGCUGGUCUUUUUGUGGCAGGGCUGAAAUGCAGUGGAAAUGUUUUUGGGGAUUCAGUUCAUUUGCAUGGCAAAGAGGGACUUUGCAAUUCAUUGCAAUUCAUCUGAUCACUCAUCAUAACAUUCUGGAGUAUUUGCAAAUUGCCAUCAUACAAAUUGAGGCAGCAAACUUUGUGAAAAUGAAUAUUUGUGUCAUUCUCAAAACCUUUGGCCACGACUGUAUAUCCAGCUAUAUAUUCCCUUCCCCUGUCAGUCACUUUUGGAUUAAAUGGUUUGCCAAGCAGAUAUUAGCCCAAAGGCCGGCAGAUGGCGAUAUUAAGUCGCUUCAUUUUCUUAGCGCCCAAAAUAAAUCCAUGCAGCCAGCUAUACACUCGUAUCCCGGUUUUUACAUAACAAAAUAUCCAUUCAGGCUGCAAAGGCAUCCAUUUCCUCCUUAACUUGAUUAAAUGGCAAGGUGGUGGAAAAAAUUGGGAAAGUAUUAAUACUUUGUUUAUGAAACACAAUUUACCACCACCAUGCUAGUGUAAUGGAUGUGAAACGCUAGCUUAGUUAGCGGUGGUGCGCGCUAAAUAGCGUUUCAAUCGGUGACGUCACUUGCUCUGAGACCUUGAAGUAGUAGUUCCCCUUGCUCUGCAAGGGCUGCGGCUUUUGUGGAGUGAUGGGUAACGAUGCUCCGUGGGUGUCAGUUGUUGAUGUGAGCAGAGGGUCCCUGGUUCGCACCCGGGUAUGGGCGAGGGGAUGGUCAAAAGUUAUACUGUUACACUAGGAGUGGCUGAAUGCUAGCCCAUGGAUGUUGUGUAUCACUUUCAGACAAUUAAGUUGCAGCAGUCUGUUGUUUACCCUUGGUCUGAACCAAGGGGCCAGGCUUACCGUAGAAGCACAGUUUCGACAGCUCCUACAGUCUUGCUUCCGUACUGCAGUUUAACUGACGCUCGGCCCAGAAAGACAAUUCCCAUAGACGGUCACAUAGAAAAGUCAGAUUAGAACAUUCAUAAUGAGACACUUUAGUCAUUACCUUUGUGGGCAAAACAUCCAUUGAACUAUUCAAAUAAAUGUUUCUGAGUCCAAUUUGAUUUCCAUCACUCACAGCCGAAUAUAUUAUUUUACAUUCAUCCAAUGUCUGCCAUGUUUUUGGAUGACUUAAUGAUGUUGUCGCUGCUCGUGCAGCUCCCUGUGUGCAAUGAGUUCUAGUGCAAAUGUGAUGUUGGUUCGCAUUAAACCGGAUGCAACCUGUAUAUAGAUGGUCCAUGAAUCGGUGUAUGCGAACGUGAGUAGAUUACUUUGAAAACGAUGACAUCUUGGACGCAGUCUCCAAUUCUUAUUAUACCUCAGUGGUGGAAAAACAAUUAACCCUGUUCCAUAUAGACAGUAUGGCCAAUAUAUACGGUAUAUAUACAGUUGAGGUCGGAUGUUUACAUACACCUUGGCCAAAUACAUUUAAACUCAGUUUUUUACAAUUCCUGACAUUUGCUGCAGGAGGGACUGGUGCACUUCACAAAAUAGACGAGUACAUGAGGAAAGAAAAUUAUGUGGAUAUAUUGAAGCAACAUCAGUCAGGAAGUUAAAGCUUGGUUGCAAAUGGAUCUUCCAAAUGGACAAUGACUCCAAGCAUACUCACAAAGUUGUUGCAAAAGGACAACCAAGUCAAGGUAUUGGAGUGGCCAUCACAAAGUCUUGACCUCAAUCCUAUAGAAUCAUUGUGGGUAGAACUGGAAAAGCAUGUGCGAGCAAGGAGGCCUACAAAGAAGGCACCAGCUCUGUCAGGAGGAAUGGGUCAAAAUUCACCCAACUUAUUGUGGGAAGCUUGUGGAAGGCUACCUGAAAUGUUUGACCCAAGUUAAACAAUUUAAAGUCAAUGCUACCAAAUACUAAUUGAGUGUAUGUAAACUUCUGACCCACUGGGAAUGUGAUGAAAGAAAUAAAAGCUGAAAUAAAUCAUUGUCACUACUAUUAUUCUGACAUUUCACAUUCUUAAAAUAAAGUGGUGAUCCUAACUGACCUAAUACAGGGAAUUUGUACUAGGAUUAAAUGUCAGGAAUUGUGAAAAUCUGAGUUUAAAUGUAUUUGGCUAAGGUAUAUGUAAACUUCUGACCUCAACUGUCAAUAUAUAUAUAUAAACUCAGCAAAAAAAGAAACAUCCUCUCACUGUCAACAGCAUUUAUUUUCAGCAAACUUAACAUGUGUAAAUAUUUGUAUGAACAUAAUAAGAUUCAACAACUGAGACAUAAACUGAACACGUUCCACAGACAUGUGACUAACAGAAAUGGAAUAAUGUUUCCCUUAACAAAGUUGGUCAACAUCAAAAGUAACAGUCAGUAUCUGUUAUGGCCACCAGCUGCAUUAAGUACUGCAGUGCAUCUCCUCCUCAUGGACUGCACCAGAUUGACAGUUCUUGCUGUGAGAUGUUACCCCACUCUUCCACCAAGGCACCUGCAAGUUCCCGGACAUUUCUGGGGGGAAUGGGUCUAGCCCUCACCCUCCGGUCCAACAGCUCCCAGACGUGCUCAAUGAGAUUGAGAUCAGGGCUCUUCGUUGGCCAUGGCAGAACACUGACAUUCCUGUCUUGCAGGAAAUCACACACAGAACGAGCAGUAUGGCUGGUGUCAUUGUCAUGCUAGAAGAUGUCAAGAUGAGCCUGCAGGAAUGGUACCACAUGAGGGAGGAGGAUGUCUUCCCUGUAAUGUACAGCGUUGAGAUUGCCUGCACUGACAAUAAGCUCAGUCCGAUGAUGCUGUGAUACACCGCCCCAGACCAUGACGGACCCUCCACCUCGAUCCCGCUCCAGAGUACAUGCCUCGGUGUAACGCUCAUUCCUUCGACGACAAGUAUGAAUCCGACCAUCACCCCUGGUGAGACAAACCCGCGACUCAUCGGAGAAGAGCACUUUUUGCCAGUCCUGUCUGGUCCAGCAACGUUGGGUUUGUGCCCAUAGGUGACGUUGUUGCCGGUGAUGUCUGGUGAGGACGUUCCUUACAACUGGCCUACAAGCCCUCAGUCCAGCCUCUCUCAGCCUAUUGCGGACUGUCUGAGCACUGAUGGAGAGAUUGUGUGUUCCUGGUAUAACUCGGGCAGUUGUUGUUGCCAUCCUGUACCUGUUCCGCAGGUGUGAUGUUCGGAUGUACCGAUCCUGUGCAGUUGUUGUUACACGUGGUCUGCCACUACGAGGACAAUCAGCUGUCCGUCCUGUCUCCCUGUAGCGCUGUCUUAGGCGUCUCACAGUACGACAUUGGAAUGAACUCACUGAAGUGGUGAAUGACCUUGAGCCUUCUUGGAUGGGCACUUCUAAUGUAACUCUAUGGCAGUACCCAAGGGGCUUGAAUUUUCUAGCUCUUCUCGUAGAUUUUGCGGUGACCUAGUGUCCCCGUGAGUGACAGAACACUGAGCAAAUCACGGCGCAACUAGAAAACAUUACCAACCCCUACACGCCGUAUUUUCCGUUGGCUGCCCCACCACCACAGAAAGCACUGAGCUAGUCUGAAACACCCUCCUUUUGGCGCUGCCUUACUCAAGAAAGCAAAAAUGAGACCAUGUUUAUGUGCCGCUUGAUUAACUAAAUUUUUUUUUUUUUUUACAUGGUUUGCAAAAUUAUAUGUGACAUGUAUAAAUACCAAAAUAACAUUGCAAAUCAGGCAAAUCAAUGCCCCACCUGCCCUGAAUGACGGGUCGACACUGGUUAUAAAUCCUAUAGUUUUUACAGACUGUACUGUUGUUUUCACUAUAGUAUUUAUUUAGUGUAGUAUACUCUUAACAUUUACAGUUAACUAUAGUAUAAAUACUGUAGUAAAAGAAAACCGUGCUUCUUCAUCUGCAUUGCUUGCUCUUUGGGGUUUUAGGAUGGGUUCUGCAUACACACUUUGUGACAACUGCUGAUGUAAAAAGGACUUUAUAAAUACACAUUUGACUGAUAGUAUAUACUAUGGUAAUUAAAGUAGUGUUUUUGCGGACUGUAGUAUACUUAAGCAAUAAGGCACGAGGGGGUGUGGCAUAUGGCCAAUAUAUCACUGCUAAGGGCGGUUCUUAGGCACGACACAACGCAAUUAGAGCAGUAAAAAUAAAAGUUUUGUCAUACCCGUGAUAUAUGGUCUGAUAUACCACGGCUGUCAGCCAUUCAGCAUUCAGGACUCGAACCACCCAGUUUAUAAUGUAGUAUUACUAUAGCGUUUUUGCAGACAUGACUCUUAUUAUUUUUUACAAAGAAGUGGAGGCUUUCUCCUUCAGGAAACCUAUGCGAGAAUGACAAAAAUAACACAUUUUCCAUAACCAGUGAGUACAGAAAUUUGCAUCCUGUAGCUCUAACUCCAAAAGGUUUUGGGACACUGUAAAGUCCAUGGAGAACAAGAGCACCUCCUCCCAGCUGCCCAUCCACGAUAAUCGAGAAUUUCAAGAAGCAUUUCUCUACGGCUGGCCAUGCUUUCCUCCUGGCUACCCCACCCCGGCCAACAGCUCUGCAUCCCCUGCAGCUACUUGCCCAAGCCUCCCCAGCUUCUCCUUCACCCAAAUCCAGAUAGCAGAUGUUCUGAAAGAGCUGCAAAACCUGGACCCAUACAAAUCAGCUGGGCUUUGUCACGCCCAGACCUUAGAGAGCCGUUUUAUUUCUCUAUUUGGUUAGGUCAGGUUGUGAUGUGGGGUGGGCAUUCUAUGUUUCCUAUUUCUUUGUUUUUGGCCGAGUGUGGUUCCCAAUCAGAGGCAGCUGUCUAUCGUUGUCUCUGAUUGGGAAUCAUACUUAGGUAGCCUUUUUCCCACCUGUGUUUUGUGGGUAGUUAUUUUCUGUUUUGUCUCUGUUACCUGACAGAAUUGUACGCUUUCGUUUUGUUACUUUGUUUGAGUGUUUUUUGAUAAAUAAAAAAAUGAUGAACACUUUUCA